AGACCUACUGACCUAGUUUUUGACCGCACAUAACCCAGUUUCGAACUUAACUUAGAUAUCAUCAAGGUGAACAUUCUGACUAAUUUUCAUGAAGAUCCAUUGAGAAAUAUGGCCUCUAGAGAGGUCACAAGGUUUUUAUAUUUUAGAUCUACUGACCUAGUUUUUGACCCCACGUGACCCAGUUUCAAACUUGACCUAGAUAUCAUCAAGCUGAACAUUCUGACCAAUUUUCAUGAAGAUCUCAUGAAAAAUAUGGCCUCUAGAGAGGUCACAAGGUUUUUCUAUUUUUAGACCUACUGACCUAGUUUUUGACCGCAGGUGACCCAGUUUCAAACUUGACCUAGAUAUAAUCAAGAUGAACAUUCUGACCAAUUUUCAUAAAGAUCCCAUGAAAAAUGUGACCUCUAGAGUGGUCACAGGUGAGCUAGAAACAUAUUUACAUUUUAACUGAAAAGCUGUAUUUGAAUAACACAUUAAUAUGUGUCCUUCAAUGAGGAAGUUUUGAACAAUGACAAAACACACCCUAGACAUUAAACAUUGUACUGGAAUUUUAAAUGAAAUGUAAAUAUUUGGUGGCUAGGUUCCCAAGCAUUUCAGGGUGAGAGGUCCAAAAUAUCUGGAGGGAUUGCUGAUGUCACAAAUUGAAAAAAAGGACUUUUUAAACAAAUGUUGAUCUCCUUCCUUUUGUCUGCAUGUGGCAACAUCUUUAUAACAUUUUCCAGUGCUGUAACAACAUGACAUUUUCCAGUGCUGUAACAACAUGACAUUUUCCAGUGCUGUACCAACAUGUUAGUGUUGGUGAUCAUUUAUGAAGUGUUAAGAGGCUAGAGAAGUAGUAUAUUUUAUUUAGGUGUUUUUGUAAAAUAAGCAUUUGAAGAUAUCCAAUUUUCAUCUGCAUCAAUCAUUUACGUUUCGCCAUGGACAACAUUCCUUUUUGACUGCGAGUGCAAACCCUAGUGUAAACAGCCCCGCAAAAUGUCAAAAAGACAGCAGUUAUAUGUUAGACUAGAUGCCCACGGGCAACAUGUCGAGCCCGCCAGCUGUCAAAAGGACUAACAUUUAUGAUACUAUUUGGCGGCGACAGAACUGAUUGCGGCAAACAUUUCUGCCAUGUUAUUUAAGAACAUCACCAUCCAUGGCUAAGGUACAGCCCAGACAAGAGAAACUGCAUCAACUUUUGACCUUUGACCCCUAAGUGUGACCUUGACCUUUCAACUACUUACCCCUGACAGACUGUCUCAUUGAGGCAAAAAAUUGUGCCAAGUUAUUCAAGAAACCCUCAAUCCAAGGCUGAGCAACAGCGUGGACAGCACCAAGUUUUGACCUUUGACCUCAAAGUAUGACCUUGACCAUUAAGCUACCAAUCUGGUUCUUGCACGCGACAUACCGUGUCAUUGAGGCAGACAUAUGUGCCAAGUUAUUUAAGAAUCCUUUGAUCCAUAGAUAAGUUACAGCCUGGACAAACUCGGAAGGAUGCACGGACACAUCGAGUUACAGCUCGGACAAACUCAGACGGAUGGAUGCAAACACGCAGGCAUGCACGAACACACAUACACCGAACCGCCAUUGUGCGACUAUGUCGAGUUCACCGCCAGCCGGCACAACAAAAAAUAAUCAGUAAAUAUUUUUCAUUUCCUCUAGUGAAAACAGAAGAAAUUCUGGCUAUAACUCUUUGAUGUUACUAGUACUGACUUGGAGGCGGCAGUCAUAAUAUCUUUAAGGAUGGACUAAAUCAAAAGUGUUCCUUCAGGCGUGAAAAAAAAAUUGCUUGUUUCCGGUGUAACAGCCCAGUUUUUCCCCCUUAGUCAUUUUUUUCCCCGGGGAAAAAACCAACCGGUUGAUUUCCACCCCCCCACACCUCCCAUGGUUGGUUCCCCACCCCACCCCACCCUAGUUUUUGUGCAUAAACAAGGGAGAAAAAACCAACUGGUUGGUUUUUUCUCCCCCCUUAGUUUUUGUACAUAAACAAGGGUGAAAAAAAAACAACCGGUUGGUUUUUUCUGUCCCCUAGUUUUCGUAUAUAAACAAGGGAGAAAAAAACAACCGGUUGGUUUUUUCUUCCCCCUGGUUGUUUUUUUCCCCCUAGUUUUUGUGCAUAAACAACUGGUUGGUUUUUUCUCCCUUGUUUAUGCACAAAAACUAGGUGGGGGUGGGGUAGGGUGUGGAAACCAACCAGUCGAUUUUUCCCCGGGGAAAAAACUGACUGGGGAAGAAUCUGACCGUUACACCAGUAUCCCGACCUGCCUUAAAUUUUUGGCCCAACCCUAAAUGUUUUUAUGGCCUUGGAGAAUAUUUUUUUCAACUUUUUAACAAAAAGUUGCAAAACUGCACUUUUUAUGCUUUAAACAUGGUCAGUGAUGUGCUUUAGAAAUCAUCUUACUGAUGCUCUAAAGGCAUAUCCCCCUUAUUUGUAUUCAUUUUUUGACACGGAAAUAAUUUCCGAAAAGUCUGCCUUAAUAAAAAAAAAAUCCCCCCCAAAAAAAUUUCAGACCUACCUACCCUAAUUUUUUUGAGCAUGUUACCGGAAACAAAGAAUUUUUUUUUUUAGGCCUCAAGUUUUUGAAGGAACAAAUCGAAACCUACCUAGGUCUGGUUAUUGCCGCAUCAAUAAUGUUGUCACUGUUGCUGUAUUUUAUGCGCUUAUUCAUAGAAACUGGCAUAAAAGAUAUUAUUAUUAUUAUAAAGUAGGUUCAAGUAAAGGUUUUUGCUUGGGUACUUUUUCAUUUAACUUGGCUGUGGUGCAAUAGAAUCACAUUUGGUGUAAAUUAAACCUGCCAGUUGUUUUGUCUUUAUUAUAUACAAUUAGUCAGGAAUGUGCAUAUAUUUUUUAACCUGGCAAAUUAAAAUACAUGAGAGUCGAAUAAAAAAUCCCAGAUCUAGCUUCUGUUAUCAUGACCUGUACCUUUUUGUUUGUUGUUCUGUUAUCCAACGAAAUCUUCAUUGUUUAUCUAUGUUUAAAUAGAACUGAGUGUACUUUU